rnacentral:lncRNA from 10 species
CAGAUGUGGUGGUACAUGCCUGUAAUCCCAGCUACUCAGGAGGCUGAGGCAGGAGAAUUGCUUGAACCCAGGAGGCGGAGGUUGCAGUGAGCCAAGAUAGUGCCACUGCACUCCAGCCUGGGCAACACGGCGAGGCUCCAUCUCAAACAAACAAACAAACAAACAAACAAACAUGGUGAGGUGUAGAUGGAGGUGGUGUGAGGUGUAAAUGGAGGUGUGAGGUGUAGACAGAGAUGAUGAGGUUCAUGUAGAGAGAGGUGGUGAGAUGUAUAUGGUGGUAUGGGGUAUAGAUGGAGGUUCUGAGGUAUUGACGGUGGUGUAAGGUGGAGAUGGUGAGGUGUAUAUGGAAGUGAUCAGAUGUAGAUGGAAGUGUGAGGUGUAGAUGGGGGGUGAAGUGUAGAUGGAAAUGUGAUAUGUGAAUGGAGGUGGUGAGGUUUACAUGGAAGUGAUGAGAUGUAGAUGGAGGUGGUAAGUUGUAGACAGAGGUGUGAGGUGGAGAUGGAGAUGGUGAGGUAGUGUAUGGUGGUGUGAAGUAUAGAUGGAGGUAUGAGGUAUACAUGGUGAUGAGGUGUGGACAAGGGUGGUGAGGUGUAGAUGGUGAUGGUGAGGUAUAGAAGGAGGUGUGUGGCGUAGGUAUAGGUGGUGAGAGAUAGGUGAGGGUGGUGAGGUGUAGAUGGUGGUCGUGAGGUGUAGAUGGAGGUGGUGAUAUCUAGAUGGAGGUAGCGAGGUCUAGAUGGAGGUGUGUGAUAUAGGUGUAGGUGAUGAGGUAUAGGUGAGGGUGGUGAGGUGUAGAUGGUGAUGGUGAUGUCUAGAUGGAGGUGAUGAGGUCUAGAUGGAGGAGUGUGGUGUAGGUGUAGGUGGUGAGGUAUAGGUGAGGGUGGUGAGGUCUAGAUGGUGGUGAGGUCUAGAUGGAGAUGUGUGGUUUAGGUGUAGGUGGUGAGAUACAGGUGAGGGUGGUGAGGUGUAGAUGGUGGUGGUGAGGUCUAGAUGGAGAUGUGUGGUUUAGGUGUAGGUGGUGAGAUAUAGGUGAGGGUGGUGAGGUGUAGAUGGUGGUGGUGAGGUCUAGAUGGAGGUGGUGAGGUCUAGAUGGAGGUGUAUGGUGUAAGUGUAGGUGGUGAGGUAUAGGUGAGGUUGGUGAGGUAUAGAUGGUGGUGGUGAGGUCUAGAUGGAGGUGGUGAUGUCAGAUGGAGGUGGUGAGGUCUAGAUGGGGGUGGUGAGGUCUAGAUGGAGGUGUGUGGUUUAGGUGUAGGUGGUGAGGUAUAGGUGAGGGUGGUGAGGUCUAGAUGGUGGUGGCAGUGAGGUCUAUAUGGAGGUGCUGAUGUCUACAUGGAGGUGGUGAGGUCUAGAUGGAGGCAGUGAGGUCUAGAUGGAGGCGGUGAGGUCUAGAUGGAGGUGUAUGGUGUAGGUGUAGGUGGUGAGGUAUAGGUGAGGGUGGUGAGGUGUAGAUGGUGAUAGUGACGUAUAGAUGGUGGUGGUGAGGUGUAGAUGGAGGAGGUGAGGUCUAGAUGGACGUGGUGAGGUCUAAAUGGAGGUAGUGAGGUCUAGAUGGAGGUGUGUGGUUUAGGUGUGGGUGGUGAGGUAUAGGUGAGGGUGGUGAGGUCUAGAUGGUGGUGGUGAGGUCUAGAUGGAGGUGGUAAUGUCUAGAUGGAGGUGGUGACGUCUAGAUGGAGGUGUGUGGUUUAGGUGUAGGUGGUGAGGUAUAGGUGAGGGUAGUGAGGUGUAGAUGGUAGUGGUGAGGUGUGGAUGAGGGUGUGAUGUGUAGAUAGAGGUGGCAAGGUGUAGAUGGAGGAUGUGGAGGCAGUGAUAGUGAUGAAGGAAGGAGUUAGAAGGCCUUGUGCAUGAAGAAAUAGAAGAUUGUUGUUGCUAUUAUGCUGAUAAAUGUGGAAGAACCUGUCCUCCUUUGAUUACACAUGUGAAAUGGUGAAAUUUCACCAUUAGGAGUCUGGAGACCCUUAUUCUUUCAGAGCCAUGGUACCUUUGGGAAAUCACCUCUCUGGGCCUCAGUGUUCUUGGAGCAGAGUUUGCUCUAUUAAAUGGCAUUUGUCAGGGGGAAAUCUACCUCUCUCCCUCCAAGCACUUUUGCCUCACCUUAUAAAGUGGGAACUUCUGUCCUUGCUGCAGCCUUGAGAAAAGUACUCUCCACUUACUGCUCUACCUCUAAACUCAUGCUAUCUAGCAGAGGAUGAGUGGUUCGUGUGCUUGGAGAAUUGGAGCACAUAAAAUGGGCAUAUGUCAUGACUCAGGUUCUUCUGGAUUUCCUCCUUCUGGGAACAGCCUCCUCAGAGAAGGCCUGUGCUUCCCUCCUCUCCUCUUCUUUUCAACCUGCCCUAGGAAGGGCAGGUUCUUGCGUUGUGGGAUAGGGGAGUCUUCCAGUUCUG